GGCCGAGUGGCGAAAUGGCAGACGCGGCGGAUUCAAAAUCCGCUUUCCCAAAAGGAAGUGUCGGUUCGAGUCCGACCUCGGCUA
rfam:Sandaracinus amylolyticus strain DSM 53668, complete genome.